GUGUCAGCUCGUGUCGUGAGAUGUUGGGUUAAGUCCCGCAAUCGAGCGCAACCCUUGUCCCUAGUUGCCAGCACUUCGGGUGGGAACUNUAAGGAGAGCAUGCCGGUGACAAACCGGAGGAAGGUGGGGAUGACAGUCAAGUCAUCAUGCCCCUUAUGUGCCAGGGNUUCACACAUGCUACAAUGGCCGGUACAAAGGGCUGCGAUGACCGUGAGGUGGAGCGAAUCCUUUCAAAGCCGUCUCAGUUCGGAUCGGGGUCUGCAACUCGACCCACCGUGAAGUCGGAGUCGCUAGAUCGCAGAUCAGCAANGUCUGC
rnacentral:rRNA from 1 species